ACGAACGCUGGCGGCGUGCUUAACACCUGCAAGUCGAACGGAAAGGCUCCAGCUUGCUGGAGUACUCGAGUGGCGAACGGGUGAGUAACACGUGGGUAAUCUGCCCUGCACUCUGGGAUAAGCCUGGGAAACUGGGUCUAAUACUGGAUAUGACCUUUCUCCUUAUGGGGUUUGGUGGAAAGUUUUUCGGUGUAGGAUGAGCCCGCGGCCUAUCAGCUUGUUGGUGGGGUGAUGGCCUACCAAGGCGACGACGGGUAGCCGGCCUGAGAGGGUGAUCGGCCACAUUGGGACUGAGAUACGGCCCAGACUCCUACGGGAGGCAGCAGUGGGGAAUAUUGCACAAUGGGCGGAAGCCUGAUGCAGCGACGCCGCGUGAGGGAUGACGGCCUUCGGGUUGUAAACCUCUUUCAGCAGGGACGAAGCGUAAGUGACGGUACCUGCAGAAGAAGCACCGGCUAACUAGGUG
rnacentral:rRNA from 1 species